GACGAACGCUGGCGGCGUGCCUAAUACAUGCCAGUAGAACGCACAGUUUAUACCGUAGCUUGCUACACCAUAGACUGUGAGUUGCGAACGGGUGAGUAACGCGUAGGUAACCUGCCUGGUAGCGGGGGAUAACUAUUGGAAACGAUAGCUAAUACCGCAUAAUAUUAAUUAUUGCAUGAUAAUUAAUUGAAAGGUGCAAUUGCACCACUACCAGAUGGACCUGCGUUGUAUUAGCUAGUAGGUGAGGUAACGGCUCACCUAGGCGACGAUACAUAGCCGACCUGGCAGGGUGAUCGGCCACACUGGGACUGAGACACGGCCCAGACGCCUACGGGAGGCAGCAGUAGGGAAUCUUCGGCAAUGGACGAAAGUCUGACCGAGCAACGCCGCGUGAGUGAAGAAGGUUUUCGGAUCGUAAAGCUCUGUUGUAAGAGAAGAACGGGUGUGAGAGUGGAAAGUUCACACUGUGACGGUAUCUUACCAGAAAGGGACGGCUAACUACGUG
rnacentral:rRNA from 1 species